GCCUAGCUUCCUAGCAGAGUGGACGUGCUGCACAAUAGCUCCUGCAAGCCAGCCACUAAAACGGGGGAUAUACCCCAAAUCAUCGCGCCCACACCGCUGGGAGUGUGACUACAGAGUGGGGGAGACCCAGGAAAACGUUUUAAUACUAAUCUUGUACCCGCAACUCACCGGGUCCCCACGAUUCCAGCCUGAGGCCUAGCUGCGACCGAGCCAGGGAGAGGCGGCCGCUCUCCUGGUUGGUAACCUCGCAGAUGGAAACCUCACCGUACUCACCUCUAACCCCCCCCCCUCUGGACCGGCGGGGGUUAUCCCGGUCCUCGCUGGGUGGCACAGGCAGCCGGCCAAUACUACCUCCCAACGCCAUGAGGCAGCAAGGUACAUCCAAGAUGGCGGAGGAUGGCGGCUGGCACAAGCGAUCGCAAACCCUAUGCACCAAGCAUCCCCAACACAGCCUGCAGCGCCUGGACGCUCACCUCAGCCAACACGGGGCUAAACAACAAACCGAACAACUAGCAGCCCAGAUGCCGCGGUAUGCAGAAGCCCGCACGGGUGAAAGAUGCAGAAAGUGCAGGGGGACCGCGACAACGGCUUACCGUGACCUGCUGGAAGGCACACACGACUACCCCACAGAGGGAAUUGGCUGACGACAUCGCGGCAUGGCAGGGCUUGCGGCCACCGCUGGAACUGUGAUUCUAAGCGAGCAGACGGCCACACACUGAGCCCUCCAAACCAGAGUGAACUCUUUAUACCUUAUCCUGAAGCACAUGCCUAAUAGUUAUACUCUGCAUCUGAAUCUGGUACUUUCCUUUUUGAGCCAUACCAUGCAUAGCUGCAUUAUAUCUGCACCCAGUGAUACCGUAACCUAGCUUUAAAUCACUAAUUUGUCAAACCUACUUUAUCAAUAUGCUGACACUGCCAGUUUC